AAGGAAAAGAAAAGGGGUCGCAAAAAAGAUUUUAUUAGGGUGCUUGACGAGAUUGCGGGUCUCGCUCCUACGUAUUCUUGGGUACAAUGAGACACUUAAAGCUUCGUAGUUCGGGGGGAAGACUACGGUUUGUUGGUUUGUGUUUUUUAAUGAACUAAUGUUUAGAUCAUGUUCUAAGGGUUAAACAUUGGUCUGUCUACUCUCGUGGAGGCUUGAGCACUAGUUUGUAUACACAUUAGAAAGGACUAAACAAUGUUCUUUUUGAA
rnacentral:lncRNA from 1 species